GGCGGUCCUCAGGGGUGAGGGAAAACAGCCGCUGCUCCUAGCCAAUAGCAGACAGUCGACAUAUGGAAUGAACUAGAUUGUAGAAAACAAACUUCGGGAGUCAAGAGUACAGGGUGCUGCUUAAAUUCCUCUGUUUCAACAGGUCAUAGUCUCUGACUUCUAACAUAUUCAACACUUGGUGUCACUGUUAAAAAUUUUCAAUGGAUUCAGGUCAUAGUCUCUGACAUCUAACAUAUUCAACACUUGGUGUCACUGUUAAAAAUUUUCAACGGAUUCAGGUAUUGGAAGCUGGGGAUAAGAUUUGAGAUUUGCAUGCUUAAGUCUCCCUGACCCCUGUGUUUCCUGUUCAGUUACACCGUGGGAU